rnacentral:tRNA from 1 species
GCUCUUGUAGCCCAACCGGUAGAGGCGCGACUCCCAAAAAGUCGAUAGUGGUGGUCCGAAUCCACUCAGGAGCACUA